rnacentral:rRNA from 1 species
UACGUAGGGUGCGAGCGUUGUCCGGAAUUAUUGGGCGUAAAGGGCUCGUAGGCGGUUUGUCGCGUCGGGAGUGAAAACCAGGUGCUUAACACCUGGCUUGCUUUCGAUACGGGCAGACUAGAGGUAUUCAGGGGAGAACGGAAUUCCUGGUGUAGCGGUGAAAUGCGCAGAUAUCAGGAGGAACACCGGUGGCGAAGGCAGGUCACUGGGCCGCAACUGACGCUGAGGAGCGAAAGCAUGGGGAGCGAACAGG